UGGGGCAUAUUGCACAAUGGGCGCAAGCCUGAUGCAGCCAUGCCGCGUGUGUGAAGAAGGCCUUCGGGUUGUAAAGCACUUUCAGCGGGGAGGAAGGCGAUAAGGUUAAUAACCUUGUCGAUUGACGUUACCCGCAGAAGAAGCACCGGCUAACUCCGUGCCAGCAGCCGCGGUAAUACGGAGGGUGCAAGCGUUAAUCGGAAUUACUGGGCGUAAAGCGCACGCAGGCGGUUGAUUGAGUCAGAUGUGAAAUCCCCGGGCUUAACCCGGGAAUUGCAUCUGAUACUGGUCAGCUAGAGUCUUGUAGAGGGGGGUAGAAUUCCAUGUGUAGCGGUGAAAUGCGUAGAGAUGUGGAGGAAUACCGGUGGCGAAGGCGGCCCCCUGGACAAAGACUGACGCUCAGGUGCGAAAGCGUGGGGAGCAAACAGG
rnacentral:rRNA from 1 species